rnacentral:rRNA from 1 species
AUUGAACGCUGGCGGCAUGCCUUACACAUGCAAGUCGAACGUGAAAGGGGGGCAACCCCCGAGUAGAGUGGCGGACGGGUGAGUAAUACAUCGGAACGUGCCCAGUAGUGGGGGACAACCUCGAGAAAUCGAGGCUAAUACCGCAUACGACCUACGGGUGAAAGCGGGGGACCGCAAGGCCUCGCGCUAUUGGAGCGGCCGAUGUCCGAUUAGCUAGUUGGUAGGGUAAAAGCCUACCAAGGCAACGAUCGGUAGCUGGUCUGAGAGGACGACCAGCCACACUGGGACUGAGACACGGCCCAGACUCCUACGGGAGGCAGCAGUGGGGAAUCUUGCGCAAUGGGCGAAAGCCUGACGCAGCGACGCCGCGUGAGGGAAGAAGGCCUUCGGGUUGUAAACCUCUUUCAGGAGGGACGAAGCUACUCGGGUGAAUAGCCCAGAGGGUGACGGUACCUCCAGAAGAAGCCCCGGCUAACUACGUGCCAGCAGCCGCGGUAACAC